GCCGGUCCUCGGUAGUGGUACCCGGAAAGCCCCACGGGCACCGAACCGGGUACUUCGAUCGAAGACCGGC
rfam:Streptomyces roseus strain ATCC 31245 contig_26, whole genome shotgun sequence.